AUUGAACGCUGGCGGCAUGCUUUACACAUGCAAGUCGGACGAGUGGCGAACGGGUGAGUAACGCAUCGGAACGUACCGAGGAAUGGGGGAUAACUGUCCGAAAGGAAAGAUAAUACCACAUAUUAUUCGAGCGGCCGAUGGCUGAUUAGCUGGUUGGAGGGGUAAAGGCCCACCAAGGCGACGAUCAGUAGCUGGUCUGAGAGGAGGAUCCGCCACACUGGGACUGAGACACGGCCCAGACUCCUACGGGAGGCAGCAGUGGGGAAUUUUGGACAAUGGGCGCAAGCCUGAUGCAGCCAUGCCGCGUGUCUGAAGAAGGCCUUCGGGUUGUAAAGGACUUUUGUCAGGGAAGCGGUACUUGAAGAAUAAGCACCGGCUAACUACGUGCCAGCCGCCGCGGUAAUUC
rnacentral:rRNA from 1 species